GAUGAACGUUGGCGGCGUGCCUAAUACAUGCAAGUCGAACGAAGACUGUAGUAAUACUGUCUUAGUGGCGAACGGGUGAGUAACGCGUGGGUGACCUGCCCCGAAGUGUGGGAUAACAGUCCGAAAGGAUUGCUAAUACUGCAUAAUAUCCAAGAGAUUAGAUGCUUUUGGAUUAAAGGAGUAAUUCGCUUCGGGAGGGGCCCGCGUCCCAUCAGCUAGUUGGUAAGGUAAUGGCUUACCAAGGCGAUGACGGGUAGGGGACCUGAGAGGGUGGCCCCCCACAAUGGAACUGAAACACGGUCCAUACACCUACGGGUGGCAGCAGUAGGGAAUAUUAGUAAUGGGCGAAAGCCUGAACUAGCAACGCCGCGUGUGCGAAGAAGGCCUUCGGGUCGUAAAGCACUUUUUGAGAGGAUGAGGAAGGACGGUACGUCUCAGAAUAAGUCUCGGCUAACUACGUG
rnacentral:rRNA from 1 species